rnacentral:rRNA from 1 species
GUAGGGAAUAUUGGGCAAUGGUCGGAAGACUGACCCAGCCAUGCCGCGUGCAGGAAGACGGCCCUCUGGGUUGUAAACUGCUUUUAUCUGGGAAGAAAAAGGCCAUGCGUGGCAAAUUGCCGGUACCAGAUGAAUAAGCACCGGCUAACUCCGUGCCAGCAGCCGCGGUAAUACGGAGGGUGCGAGCGUUGUCCGGAUUUAUUGGGUUUAAAGGGUGCGUAGGCGGCUGAUUAAGUCAGCGGUGAAAGACCUCGGCUUAACCGGAGCAGUGCCGUUGAUACUGGUUGGCUUGAGUGUCGGAGGGGUACAUGGAAUUGAUGGUGUAGCGGUGAAAUGCAUAGAUACCAUCAGGAACACCGAUAGCGAAGGCAUUGUACUGGCCGACAACUGACGCUGAUGCACGAAAGUGUGGGGAUCGAACAGGAUUAGAAACCCGAGUAGUCC